UGAAACCAAACGCUAAACCAAAUUUGAAAUUUAAAAGAAAAUAUUAAAAUGAAUUUAAAUGGCUUAUCAGCUUCUUGUGAAAUUUAGUAAUAUAAUAAGCAGAAGCUUAUUGAUGAAAUUAAAUUACGCACUUAAUACAGGCAUUGGCACAGAAUCAUACACAUACAUUGGCUCAACGUUUUGAUUUCGCGACUUCAGCAGCAUUACUGCCAAACUAGUGAAAUAGUCAAUAUUUCACCCAUUUUACAAAAUCGGCAAGUCAGCAAAUUUGACAAAACACAGACACAAAAUAAGAAAAUGUUUAUAGACGGAUAUUUUGAAAAGUUUUGAAAUCUUUCCAAAAAUGAUUUAAAAGAUUGAAACCAAUCCAACACGUCUACGUUGUCUAACGCGUUGUCUAACACGUCUACGUUGUCUAACGCGUUGAACAUUCGAAUUGCCAAGCUUAAUCUUUAAUGUAUUGGCAAGAAACCAAACAACAUAAGAAACCAAACAACAUAAGAAACCAAACAACAUAAAAAAUACAAAUAUAUGGAAAUUACAUUAUUGAAAAAAAACUCUUUCCACUCUAUUAUCUUAAGAAAAAAAAAUUUAAAGAUUUAUUUCCUGGAUUGUAUAA